rnacentral:rRNA from 1 species
CCUACGGGUGGCAGCAGUGGGGAAUAUUGCGCAAUGGGCGAAAGCCUGACGCAGCGAAGCCGCGUGAGGGAUGAAGGUCUUCGGAUCGUAAACCUCUGUCAGCAGGGAAGAACGGUCACUGUGCUAAUCAGCAGUGAAUUGACGGUACCUGCAAAGGAAGCACCGGCUAACUCCGUGCCCGCAGCCGCGGUAAUACGGAGGGUGUGAGCGUUAAUCGGAAUUACUGGGCGUAAAGCGCUCGUAGGCGGUAUGGCAAGUCAAGGGUGAAAUCCCCGCGCUCAACGUGGGAACUGCCGUUGAAACUGGCAAACUGGAGUGUGUGAGAGGAUAGUGGAAUUCCAGGUGUAGGAGUGAAAUCCGUAGAUAUCUGGAGGAACAUCAGUGGCGAAGGCGACUAUCUGGCACAUAACUGACGCUGAGGAGCGAAAGCGUGGGUAGCGAACAGGAUUAGAUACCCUAGUAGUC